rnacentral:rRNA from 1 species
GACGAACGCUGGCGGCGUGCUUAACACAUGCAAGUCGAACGGAAAGGCCCUGCUUUUGUGGGGUUCCCGAGUGGCGAACGGGUGCGUAACACGUGAGUAACCUGCUCUUGACUUUGGGAUAACUUCAGGAAACUGGGGCUACUACCGUAUAGGAGCCCCUGCUGCGUGGUGGGGGUGGGAACGUUGCGGCGGUUGGGGAUGGAUUCGCGGCUUAUCAGCUUGUUGGUGGGGUAGUGGCUUACCAAGGGUUUGACGGGUAGCCGGCCUGGGAGGGUGACCGGCCACAUUGGGACUGAGAUACGCCCCAGACGCGAACGGGAGGCAGCAGUGGGGAAUAUGGCACAAUGGGCGGAAGCCUGAUGCAGAAACGCCGGGUGCGGGAUGACGGCCUUCGGGUUGUAAACCGCUUUCGCCUGUGACGAAGCGUGAGUGACGGUAAUGGGUAAAGAAGCACCGGCUAACUACGUG